AUCCUUGAAUGUUUGACUAAUGUCAUUAAGAAAUCGCCCGAACUGGUUGGAGAGCUCAUAAAAAUCUUAUGCGAGCUUACCAAGGCACAGAAUACAAAAGAUCCUGAAACUAUCAGGAACGCUUUACUGGAAGUGACAAUGUUUGUGGAAAAAAACUGCAACGUAGAAUUGACCGCGUU